UACGUAGGGUGCGAGCGUUGUCCGGAAUUAUUGGGCGUAAAGGGCUCGUAGGCGGUUUGUCGCGUCGGGAGUGAAAACCUACAGCUUAACUGUGGGCUUGCUUUCGAUACGGGCAGACUUGAGGGUCGGAGAGGUAUGUGGAAUUCCUGGUGUAGCGGUGGAAUGCGCAGAUAUCAGGAGGAACACCGAUGGCGAAGGCAGAUCUCUGGGCCGUAACUGACGCUGAGGAGCGAAAGCAUGGGGAGCGAACAGG
rnacentral:rRNA from 1 species